rnacentral:rRNA from 1 species
UACGAAGGGGGCUAGCGUUGCUCGGAAUGACUGGGCGUAAAGGGCGCGUAGGCGGCUCGGCACGUCCGUUGUGAAAUCGCCCGGCUCAACUGGGCGGGGUCAGCGGAUACGGUCGAGCUUGAGCAAGCUAGGGGGUAAUGGAAUUCCCGGUGUAGUGGUGGAAUGCGUAGAUAUCGGGAGGAACACCAGUGGCGAAGGCGGUUACCUGGGGCUUUGCUGACGCUGAUGCGCGAAAGCGUGGGGAGCGAUCCGG